GGUCCUGUAGUGUAGUGGUUAUCACAGUGGAUUUUGAUUUAAGUUCGUCAACUUCCAUUAACCCCGGUUCGAAUCCGGGCCGGACCU
rfam:Paracoccidioides sp. &apos;lutzii&apos; Pb01 unplaced genomic scaffold supercont2.4, whole genome shotgun sequence.